rnacentral:tRNA from 1 species
GCCUUCAUGGUGUAGUGGUGAGCACGCUCGGCGUGUAUUCGAGAGGUCCAUGGUUCGAGUCCCGGCAAAGGCA